CAGAACUGGUUGCUGCUGCUACCCUUGUAACUGCUGUUGCUGCUGCUGCUACUGAGUUCUGCUCCUGGAGGUUGUAGGAUCAGCAACAAUGCAGCCCUGUCAGACCACAGUUGACCCCGAGGACUGAGCCCGGCCUCCACCUCCGAUGCUCUGCAGUUCUAAAGACCAAUCCAGGAAUCCUGGAAUUUCCGAACCAAUGACUGUGCAGGGAAGAAGGAGAAAUCACGCAAUCAAACCCUUUCUGGAGACAUGGCUGUUCUCUCUUAUGGGAAUUUUUCCAAAACAGCCCCAGCAUGCUCUGGGCUCCUUUCUCCAAAGAAACCAGCAGGACGACCAGCACAGACACGGAUGGCCUCUCGGCUACAGAGAUCCACCCUUCACUGUCAUCCAUGUCUAAGCACAGCCCAGCAGGAUUAGGGAUUCAGAACCAAACUGACAAGAACUUGAAAAUGCUGGCCUGAGUGAUAUCUAAUAUCCAGACUCCCUCAGCAGAUAUCAAGGAAGCAGCCAGAAGACCACAGAACAGACUGAGACAUGCAGUAGCAGCCCAUGUGUCUUCCCUGCCCAGAGAGCCAGAUGGCUGCUCUGCAACCGGAACCAGCACACUGAGGAAAGGGCCGUGGGAUGGGUGAGUAUCUCGAUGAACAUUCGUGGGUGGGGGCUGGGUGCUUCACUCUAGGCGGGUAACACAUAAGUGGUUUCCUCCCAAGUGAGCAGUACAGGAGUAUGAGAGCUAGCUACUUCAUCAUGUGCUGGUAACCCAUAAUUGGAUUCCUCCCAAAUGGGAAGCGUUCGUGGGUGGAAGCUAGUCACCUCACCACAUGCAAACAAAGUAGAAGUGAAUUCCUCUUGGGUGGGACCUGGGUGUUUUGCCACACGCGAGUAACAUAUAAGUAUAUUCUUCCCAAUAAGAAAAGCUCUAAUAUUAAAUAAUCAUAUUCCUGCCGAAAGGGAGGUUCAAUUCCCCACUCCCAAAUUAAACAAAUAAUUCAAUUUUUAUGCAUCCAAAAUAAUCAGAUAAUUUCAUUAGCCUCAUGGAAUAAAUUUUGAAUAAAAUUCAGCUUUUCUGUCCCCGGUCUGUCUCCCUGUCUCCCUCUCUCUUGACACGCUGAUUCCCGAAAAAACCCAUCCCCGGGCAAUGGGUGAUACCCACCCUGGACAUCUCUGCUAUAUUGGCACCUGUGUGUAGGACCUCACAGAAUGUAGCAUCAUCUUCAAACACCUAGGGCAGUUUCAUUCCCGUUGCCCUCAGCCCUGCAGCCCCCCGGACCACCAAAAGCACUUCCCUAACCUCCUGCCAUCUCCCACUGUUUGAUCCAGGGCCUUCACUCUGGGUCUGCAGGGUUGCAGAGAACCAACCCUGGGAAGUGACACUACUGCAGAUGUGCCCAUGCUGGAAAGGCUUUGGUUGUGACCAGAUUCUGGAUGGCUUAGUGGGUGGGAGCCCCAUGAUGUCCCACCGUGUCCCUCCGCAGCUGGACCCCAGACCUUGUGAGCUUGGUCGUCUAUGCUGUUUUUGUGUUUCCAGUGUUUUCAUCCUUCCUCAAAAUAAUAAGAAUAAUGGCAUUUGUUAAGCACUUACUACGUGCCAAGCUCUGUUCUAAGCGCUGGGGUAGA